UAAAGAGCCGCGGUAUUUUGACCGUGCAAAGGUAGCAAUAAUAAUUAGUCUCUUAAUUAGAGGCUGGAAUGAAUGGUUUGACAGAAAAAUCAACUGUCUCUUAAUAAAUCUUAGAAUUUAACUUUUGAGUUAAAAGGCUUAAAUUUUUCUUUAGGACGAGAAGACCCUAUAGAGCUUGACAUUUUAAUUAAAUAUUUUUUUAAGAUAGUCUUUAAAUAUUAAAUGAUAAUGUUUUAUUGGGGUGAUAUGAAGAAUUGAUAAACUCUUCAUUAUAAAAUCAUUAAUUUAUGUUUGUUUUGAUCCAUAAUUUAUGAUCAUAAGAUUAAGUUACCUUAGGGAUAACAGCGUAAUUGUUUUCGAGAGCUCAUAUUGACAAAGCAGAUUGCGACCUCGAUGUUGGAUUAAGAAAAGUUUUGGGUGCAGUA
rnacentral:rRNA from 1 species